rnacentral:tRNA from 1 species
GCCAUGGUAAGGCGUAAGUCAUCGGUUCAAAUCCGAUAAUGGACU